UUUUUUUUUUUUUUUUUUUUUUUUUUUUUUUUUUUUUUUUUUUGUU
rnacentral:ribozyme from 1 species